AAACUCAAGGUUACUCAUGUGCCCAUGGAUUAAAUGACUAUGCUAUUAUGUGAAUGCUGUUUUUGGAUCUGAACUAUGGAUUAUUCGUGGUUCUCUUUGAUGGUUUAAUUCUGCUUCCUGGAAAAAGUGCAAACACUGAUAUUGUUAACUUGUAAGCACCUUUCAACACGAUAAAAAGUAAAGUGCACCAGGAAUACAGACAAUACUGGGACACAAAGUGCGUGUGUAUUUCCUACAAGUCUACGCAGUUUGUGGGCUCUAACAUUAUAAGGAUCACACAUCGCUGAGGUAAAGUUAUAUCAGAAGCAGGGUUCAUUUAACACACAUAGACAUGGGAGAAAGCAGAAGACAUGGAAGAACCCUGACAACAUGAGCGGACUUACAAAUGCACAAGAAGAUAUAGAAACAGAAAUUAUUCAGUUAGU